CUGCGGGUUGCUGCAGGCGCGAAACCUUUACAAUGCACGAAAGUGUGAUAAGGGAAUCCCAAGUGCUUGCUCUCUGAGUAAGCUUUUGCCAAGUGUAAAUAGCUUGGCGAAUAAGUGGUGGGUAAUACCGGUGCCAGCCGCCGCGGUAACACCGGAGCCACAAGUGGGGGUCACAAUUAUUGGGUCUAAAGCGUUCGUAGCCGGUUAAGUAAGUCUUUUGUGAAAUUGUUUUGCUCAACAAAACAGCGUGCAAGAGAUACUACUUGACUUGAGACCGGGAGAAGCUAGAAGUAUUUCAGGGGGAGCGGUAAAAUGUUUUAAUCCCUGAAAGACUACCAGUGGCGAAGGCGUCUAGCUAGAACGGGUCUGACGGUGAGGAACGAAGGCUGGGGGAGCAAAACGGAUUAGAUACCCCAGUAGUC
rnacentral:rRNA from 1 species